rnacentral:rRNA from 1 species
CCCGCUGAACUUAAGCAUAUCAAUAAGCGGAGGAAAAGAAACUAACAAGGAUUCCCCUAGUAACUGCGAGUGAAGCGGGAAGAGCUCAAAUUUAAAAUCUGGUUUGCUUUGCUUGUCCGAGUUGUAGUCUGAAGAAACGUUAUCUGUGCUAGCAUGAUGCACAAGUCCUUUGGAACAGGGCGUCAUAGAGGGUGAGAAUCCCGUCUCUGACAUGGACUGCUAGUGCUUUGUGAUAUGCUCUCAAAGAGUCGAGGUGUUUGGGAAUGCAGCUCUAAAUGGGUGGUAUAUUCCAUCUAAAGCUAAAUAUUGGCGAGAGACCGAUAGCGAACAAGUACCGUGAGGGAAAGAUGAAAAGACCUUUGGAAAGAGAGUUAAACAGUACGUGAUAUUGUUGAAAGGGAAACGCUUGAAGUCAGUCACAUUGGUCAGAGAUCAAUCUUGCUUUUUAGUGUUGAUGUAUGUUCUGAUUUUAAUGCGCCAGCAUCAAUUUUGAUUGAUGGAAAAAAACUAAAUGAAUGUCGCAUCUGUGGGCUGUGUUAUAUCUGUGAGUAGUCUACAUUGAGACAGCUUGAGGAAUUCAGCAUGCCAUACUGGUUGAAUUUUCUAAACUACAUUCAUGCUUAGGAUGCUGGCAUAAUGGCUUUAAUCCACCCGUCUUGAAACACGG